GACGAACGCUGGCGGCGUGCCUAAUACAUGCAAGUAGAACGCUGAAGGAGGAGCUUGCUUCUCCGGAUGAGUUGCGAACGGGUGAGUAACGCGUAGGUAACCUGCCUGGUAGCGGGGGAUAACUAUUGGAAACGAUAGCUAAUACCGCAUAAGAGUAGAUGUUGCAUGACAUUUGCUUAAAAGGUGCAAUUGCAUCACUACCAGAUGGACCUGCGUUGUAUUAGCUAGUUGGUGGGGUAACGGCUCACCAAGGCGACGAUACAUAGCCGACCCGAGAGGGUGAUCGGCCACACUGGGACUGAGACACGGCCCAGACUCCUACGGGAGGCAGCAGUAGGGAAUCUUCGGCAAUGGGCGGAAGUCUGACCGAGCAACGCCGCGUGAGUGAAGAAGGUUUUCGGAUCGUAAAGCUCUGUUGUAAGAGAAGAACGAGUGUGAGAGUGGAAAGUUCACACUGUGACGGUAUCUUACCAGAAAGGGACGGCUAACUACGUGCCAGCAGCCGCGGUAAUACGUAGGUCCCGAGCGUUGUCCGGAUUUAUUGGGCGUAAAGCGAGCGCAGGCGGUUAGAUAAGUCUGAAGUUAAAGGCUGUGGCUUAACCAUAGUACGCUUUGGAAACUGUUUAACUUGAGUGCAAGAGGGGAGAGUGGAAUUCCAUGUGUAGCGGUGAAAUGCGUAGAUAUAUGGAGGAACACCGGUGGCGAAAGCGGCUCUCUGGCUUGUAACUGACGCUGAGGCUCGAAAGCGUGGGGAGCAAACAGG
rnacentral:rRNA from 1 species